rnacentral:rRNA from 1 species
UGGGGAAUUGUUCGCAAUGGGCGCAAGCCUGACGACGCAACGCCGCGUGGAGGAUGAAGAUCUUCGGGUCGUAAACUCCUGUCGAGUGGGAAGAAUAGUCUCGGGGCGAAUAUCCUCGAGACCUGACGGUACCACUAAAGGAAGCCCCGGCUAACUCCGUGCCAGCAGCCGCGGUAAUACGGGGGGGGCAAGCGUUGUUCGGAAUUACUGGGCGUAAAGGGCUCGUAGGCGGCCAACUAAGUCGGAUGUGAAAUCCCCAGGCUCAACCUGGGAACUGCAUCCGAUACUGGAUGGCUUGAAUUUGGGAGAGGGAUGCAGAAUUCCAGGUGUAGCGGUGAAAUGCGUAGAUAUCUGGAGGAAUACCGGUGGCGAAGGCGGCAUCCUGGACCAACAUUGACGCUGAGGAGCGAAAGCUAGGGGAGCAAACGGG